rnacentral:lncRNA from 1 species
AGAUGUUCCUGAGGGUCCGCCAUGGUGUCCAUGGGAUGUCCUUGAGGAGCCUCCAGGGUGACAACGAGAUGUCCCCAAAGCCACCAUGGUGUCCGUGGGAUGUCCCCAAAGCCACUGUGGUGUCCAUGAGAUGUCCCUGAGAAGCCUUCAGGGUGACGGAGAUGUCCCCAAAGCCACCGUGGUGCUCAUGGGAUGUCCCCAAGGGUCCACCAGGGUGACA